GAUGAACGCUGGCGGCGUGCCUAAUACAUGCAAGUCGAGCGAACGGACGAGAAGCUUGCUUCUCUGAUGUUAGCGGCGGACGGGUGAGUAACACGUGGAUAACCUACCUAUAAGACUGGGAUAACUUCGGGAAACCGGAGCUAAUACCGGAUAAUAUUUUGAACCGCAUGGUUCAAAAGUGAAAGACGGUCUUGCUGUCACUUAUAGAUGGAUCCGCGCUGCAUUAGCUAGUUGGUAAGGUAACGGCUUACCAAGGCAACGAUGCAUAGCCGACCGGAGAGGGGGAUAGCCGACACUGGAACUGAGACGCGGUCCAGACUCCUACGGGAGGCAGCAGAAGGGAAUCUUACGCAAUGGGCGGAAGCAUGGCGGAGCAACGCCGCGUGAGUGAUGAAGGUCUUCGGAUCGUAAAACUCGGUUAUUAGGGAAGAACAGAUGUGUAAGUAACUGUGCACAUCUUGACGGUACCUAAUCAGAAAGCAACGGCUAACUACGUG
rnacentral:rRNA from 1 species